UACGUAGGGUGCAAGCGUUGUCCGGAAUUAUUGGGCGUAAAGAGCUCGUAGGCGGUCUGUCGCGUCUGCUGUGAAAACUCGGGGCUUAACCCCGGGCCUGCAGUGGGUACGGGCAGACUAGAGUGCGGUAGGGGAGACUGGAAUUCCUGGUGUAGCGGUGAAAUUCGUAGAUAUCAGGAGGAACACCGGUGGCGAAGGCGGGUCUCUGGGCCGAUACUGACGCUGAGGAGCGAAAGCGUGGGGAGCGAACAGG
rnacentral:rRNA from 1 species